rnacentral:rRNA from 1 species
AGAACCUUACCUGGUCUUGACAUCCACAGAACUUUCCAGAGAUGGAUUGGUGCCUUCGGGAACUGUGAGACAGGUGCUGCAUGGCUGUCGUCAGCUCGUGUUGUGAAAUGUUGGGUUAAGUCCCGCAACGAGCGCAACCCUUAUCCUUUGUUGCCAGCGAUUAGGUCGGGAACUCAAAGGAGACUGCCAGUGAUAAACUGGAGGAAGGUGGGGAUGACGUCAAGUCAUCAUGGCCCUUACGACCAGGGCUACACACGUGCUACAAUGGCGCAUACAAAGAGAAGCGACCUCGCGAGAGCAAGCGGACCUCAUAAAGUGCGUCGUAGUCCGGAUUGGAGUCUGCAACUCGACUCCAUGAAGUCGGAAUCGCUAGUAAUCGUGGAUCAGAAUGCCACGGUGAAUACGUUCCCGGGCCUUGUACACACCGCCCGUCACACCAUGGGAGUGGGUUGCAAAAGAAGUAGGUAGCUUAACCUUCGGGAGGGCGCUUACCACUUUGUGAUUCAUGACUGGGGUGAAGUCGUAACAAGGUAACCGUAGGGGAACCUGCGGUUGGA